AAGACACCCAACUAAGAAUCAACAUCUUGGUCUGGGGAGCAGAUGCAGGAAGAGAUAAAAAAAGUAUCUUUGACCGAAAGACACUGCUCUUCACAACUAUAAAAGCCACAAAAAAUAUUACAGAUAUAGAACUCUUACACACUCCCUGGAAAUGGGUAGGAUGGCUUCUCCUACAAAGCUUGGACAUAUCUUUGUAGAUACUUUUCCAGAAAUUGAGAGGUGCCAUGUGAUGACAUUGAUGAUGAUCUGCUCCACGAUCUUCCUCAGUACAAAAGGCUUAUCUUUUAACCGCAUCUCCCUGCAUUGUCAUAUCCUACGGAGAAAUACAGCAAACAAACCUCUGCGUCCUUAAAGUGAUCGGGGCGGCGGAUGUUCCCGGAGCCUGCGCAUCGCAUUGUCCUCGUUCAGGCACUCGCAGGACACUUACUAAUUGACGUUAAUUGGUUCUGCGAGACGAGCAGCGGACUCGCUGCGG